rnacentral:lncRNA from 1 species
GGAAGAUUGAAAAGACCCAGCAACAAAGCAAAAGGAUAUUUUGGUUCCAGAUCUACACUGAGAGGGCACGGCCUCCUAUGGUUGGAACUUUGCCCAAAGUUCCAAAGAAGAACUAUCAACUGAGCAGGAGCCCACAGCAGGCCUGAGAAAAACCAAGCAGAAUAUUAAUGUAAAAAAAAAUUUCCAAGAGCUCAACACAGGAGAAAUAUACUAAUGAGGGGAGAAGAAGGGAGACAGAGGCAAAAAGUGAGAGUGGUUACAGGUACUUCAUGCCCACCUCCAAUGCAACUUGGGCCCAGGCUCUAGUUUGGACUCCAAGGACAGCAAAGUCUUGCUAGAUGCAAGAAUUCAGAAAGCUUGGAUAUCAGGCACACCCUGGUGCUAACCAUCACGUGUUAAUCUCACUUUGGAGGAAGAGAAAGACCUCAGGGACAGAGCCUUCUGCAGGCAACAUUGUGUGCCUAGAAUUAAAGAACAUCAUGUUGUUU